CGGACUCCAGUUGGCAUGUGC
rnacentral:miRNA from 1 species